UCAAAUAAGCAUGGUAAAAUGGUACCUGG
rnacentral:piRNA from 1 species